rnacentral:rRNA from 1 species
UACGAGGGGGGCAAGCGUUGUUCGGAAUUACUGGGCGUAAAGCGCACGUAGGCGGCUUUGUAAGUUAGAGGUGAAAGCCCAGGGCUUAACCCUGGAAUUGCCUUUAAGACUGCAUCGCUAGAAUCGUGGAGAGGUGAGUGGAAUUCCGAGUGUAGAGGUGAAAUUCGUAGAUAUUCGGAAGAACACCAGUGGCGAAGGCGACUCACUGGACACGUAUUGACGCUGAGGUGCGAAAGCGUGGGGAGCAAACAGG